GAUGAACGCUGGCGGCGUGCCUAAUACAUGCAAGUAGAACGCUGAAGGAGGAGCUUGCUCUUCUGGAUGAGUUGCGAACGGGUGAGUAACGCGUAGGUAACCUGCCUGGUAGCGGGGGAUAACUAUUGGAAACGAUAGCUAAUACCGCAUGACAACAGUUAUUGCAUGAUAACUGUUUAAAAGUGGCAACUGCUCCACUACCAGAUGGACCUGCGUUGUAUUAGCUAGUUGGUGAGGUAACGGCUCACCAAGGCGACGAUACAUAGCCGACCUGAGAGGGUGAUCGGCCACACUGGGACUGAGACACGGCCCAGACUCCUACGGGAGGCAGCAGUAGGGAAUCUUCGGCAAUAGACGGAAGUCUGACCGAGCAACGCCGCGUGAGUGAAGAAGGGUUUCGGAUCGUAAAGCUCUGUUGUAAGAGAAGAACGAGUGUGAGAGUGGAAAGUUCACACUGUGACGGUAUCUUAACAGAAAGGGACGGCUAACUACGUG
rnacentral:rRNA from 1 species